rnacentral:lncRNA from 1 species
AUCUGGGCCGAUAUUAGACGUGCAGGAAGAUAACCGGCGGUCAAGUAGUUCAUCACACUCACUCAUCAGUGCCAUACGAUGGACGUUACUCUAGAUGAGAUUAAUGCCACAGGCAGAACCAUUCAUGUGACGUUACAUCCGUACAAAAUGGAUAAUUUGGCGGAUCGAACGAGACCGCUCGGCGCUUGAUGCGCGCCGCAGACUUCAAUCAAGAACUCAGGAGAAAGAAUUACAUCUCGACUAUACUCAAAUUUCGGCUUAUUACAUUAGAACCUCAAUUGAGUACGCCACCUCGACGCAACAGCCUAUACAAUACGAAGCAGUACAGAAGAAGAAGAAAUUAUUUAUUAAUUGUUCGAACGUUCGUAAGUAAGCGACGAAGCGUUAAGGCAAACACUUUCCGACACAUCCGUCUAGAACAAAGAAUUCGAAGACAAAUCGUUGCAACUAAACACAGAAAAUUUUUACGCGACAGAAACCAUCGUCCAAGGCAGAAGUUGCAUCGCUGGCACAUUCAUCGCGGGUCCGUUACACAGACACGUUUCAUGUACCGCAGCGCUCUGAACAAGAACUAACAAUGUACCAGAUAGGCUGCAGUGUAUAUUCAGCGAAGGAAGCGCCGCCUUAGGUAGAGGCAACCUAGUCGAUGCUGUCGAGACGCCCCUGCACACGCCGCUACGGAGCUGAACAGUGUAUAGAAGUUAAACCGCUACCCAAUGAGCAACCUUCAGCCGCUAGCACCCGCGCUAGCACAACGCGUUCAUUAGUUGGUGAGCCCAUUGCUCCACGACGUUCUUAGCGCCCUGCUGGCGAGUAAAUGCAAGGACCGCCUCAAAGGGUUGGGAAUGUCAAAGCGCGCACCUUGCGCGCGGUAUGGCGAAAUCAUUCGAAAUUUAAAUGAGCGCAACGAUUCGCGCUUGAAUAGCAGCGGCGGCGACGGCGGCGGCGGCGGCGGCGGCGGCGGCAAACUCCCUGCCAUCGGCUGUUGAGAUUAGAGCGAAAGGGUUACUUUGACGAAAGUUGUGAUGACCGUAGAUCGGUGGACGCGUUGAAUGCACGGAGGAUUCUAGCCCUUGAAGGCAGAAUGAUUACUCUGUGUAAUCGUUGCGUAAUUAUGAGCUCGUUGAAGAUCGGACGCGAUGGGCGCAGAAGCAAAGGAGGCACAGGGUGAAACACGGGACAAAUGCGAUGCCCUGUUACCGCACGCCUAUGUAAAUGCACAUUAGUCUCCACUGCAAUCGUCUUUUCACGGUCAGGCUCACUAUGCUCAUAAUGAGUCGGACAGAAGGCUUUCUUCAAAGGCAGCGGUAAUAGACUUCUUGUUGCCCUCAGGAUUCAACCUGACACAAUUCGACCGAAGCACCAGAGAGGUCUCACAAAAGACGUUUACCUUAGGAGGAUCUGUUCAGGAUCUUCCUUCGUCGAACAUUGGACCAGGGAAUAUGUCAACGCUAUGCGAAACAAUCGAACACGAUAUGGCGAAUAAGACGACGCUGCUACAGCGAAGAAGGCGCAGCGUUUGCACGUCGAGCAUUUGGCGCCAGCCGUCGUAUAUCUUGGUGGCCUCUUUCGCUCCAUAUUCGCCGUAACUCUGGAAAUAGCUGAGGGUCGAAAACAGAGUUCCGUAUUUCCCCCCUUUGGUGUUUCAUGGCGUACAAUUUUCUCUCCCUCCCUUUUGUUUUCGUUGGAACUGCUUUCUCGGGCGUUGCACACCAGAAUGUGGUAAAAAAAAAGCCUCUUCUUAAGACUCAUGCCACUUACCUACUUACCUCUCAGCCACGACACACGGUACUUCAGAGGCUCAUCACAUUUAGCGGGUCAGCAGUCGUUAACCGACGUAGCAGCCAGCUUUAACAACCCUCCACGUCCACAGCAAGCGUAUUUUGUUUCGUCAACAUCAGCGUCUCAAUGACUCGUUACUUUUUCGUUACUGUGUUGGUGCGUUUUAAGUCCUUUACCCUAAAUAUCCUUUUCAUUUGGUUCGCUCAAGAAUCGUUUACAGAUUUUGCGAAUUUAAUCACCCAGCUUGCCUGUUUCCCUUCUGCUUAAGCAGGUCUCUAAAAUCGACCCCUUCCUGACACCACUACCGCCACCAAAAUCUUCCUAAAGUUCUUACUCCACAAUUUCUUAUAGUCAUCCACAGUCCCAAAAGCCCCCUUUCCGCUGCCUGUUCCGCUUCCAACAUCGCCGUCUUGCCGAGUUGUCCCUUGGUUGUCACUGCAGUGCACAUGCCGUUCUUUCUUUAA